AAAUGUCUUAACCACUCAAGAAAGGAGCUAAUGGAACCGAGACAUCCAGCGCCUCACUUGGUGAAGUGCUUGUUGAAUGAAUGAGCAGAUGUUGCCACCGAAGAUUUAACAAAGAGUGACUACUAAAUCCAGACAGUGUCACAUGCAGCAUCUCUUCCCCACCCUGGCAGUCACCUUGUUAAUAACUUGGUGCCAUUGAGAACUACCUGACUGCCUAGAUCCUUCUUGGGACUACCUUAAAAAAAAAGAGAGAGAGAAGGAGCGCCAGGAGGAGAAGCCCUGCAAAGUGCAGCUGGACACCUCCACGCCUGACCGAGAAAUACUGGGGAUAGUGAUGCUCAUGGAGACGCUCGAAUCCGACACUGGAAUUGCAAACUAGGAAGUUUGUUGGCUUGGCACUGCUGUUCUCAGUCCACCAUUUAAAAAUGCUCUGAGCCCAACAUCUAGAAAUCUCACUAACGACCCUCUGGACUCAAAAAAUGAGGUUACAGUUUGUUUCCCCUUCAUUUCCUAUAGAAAUGUCCCUCAUCAGGUGCCUGACUGCUGACACCAUAUAAAGGCUGGACUUAAGCAGGCUCCCGCUCCUGCCUGCAGCACAGCUUCCUAAAAUGAAACACAGCUGUUUCACCGAGUGACUCCUUCCUGGGUCUGAGAGACUGAUUCAUUAAGACAUGGGCAGGAGACUUAGGUUUGUUCUUUUCCCCUUCUUCCAUUUAGGCUUUUCUCUGCCUCUGCAGAUCUCUUAUUUUGCUACUUCUCAUUCCAGUCUCUUUGCACAGCUGCCAACUCAACUUUUAAUAUAUGAUACUUACGUUUCAAAUGGGAAAGUGAGGGAUUUAGGGUAUUCUACCCCAAAAUAUGCCAGACUGGCAUGAGGAUUAUUUUGAAUUGAAGGCAGUUAAGAAGGAACAGACACAAGAAAAGCUCUCUGUCCUCCCCUUCUUUACCAGGAAGGACAGAACGAUUCUUAAUCACCAGAGACAACUCUACACUCUUAGCCGGGAGACACCACCAGAGAAAUCGACACAAUGCACUUUGCUAAGAACUGUAUUUUCCAUUUGUUUUCCCCAUAUUCUUACCUUUCCACAAUUUGCCACUCCUAGAAGCUCAGAGUACUUCUCCUUUGUCUUGUCACUUCUCUACGAAUUUAAUGUUCUUUUGUGAUGCUGUGUCCGUACCCUCUUAAAUCUGAGGUUCUGAGACUGACGUACCCAUAGGCUAGAAUGAAUGUGACACUGGGCCAGGUUCCAGGCCCAGGAUUCGAGACACUGGUCUGAUUCUGGGGGCACUCGCCCUGGGAAUUCAGCCUCUGGGUUGUGAAGUCCAGAAAGCCCUGUGGAGUGAGCAGUCCUUGUGA
ensembl:lncRNA